ensembl:lncRNA
GUGGGGAGCCCCUGAUGGAGCCGCUGGGAAACCCUGUAGAGGAGCUGCAGGAGGCAGUGGAGAUGUUGAAUGACACGGUCAGAGAGAGAGGACGAUCACAGAAUCACAUCCAUGAGCAAGCCAUCCAGACUAUGGUCCGACAGCUGGCUUUGCUGUCAGUGCGUGUGGAGGACAGUCUGUGCUGCAGUAGAGAGCUGAACCAGGAACUCCUACAGAGAGAGAAAGACAUGGCCAUGCGCUGUGAACCAGAACAAUGUGGACUAGAGGGACUGAAGGAACAGCAAGACCACCUAGAGGUGAAUUAUGCUGUGCUGAAGGAAGAGGUGGAGGAGCUCCAGAGACAGACUGGUUAUCUAGAGGAGCUAUGCCCAGAGAGAGUGACCUUCCUGGCGGUGGAGGUGCAGGGAGCCCUGGGGGUAUGGAGGGAAUUAAGGAGGAACGUAGAGGGGAACAGAGACCGAUUACGACAGUUUGUUCACCUGCAGGACUUCUUCAGGACCUACCUGGCCAUGAUAUCGUGGAUGGAGGACACCCGGGAGUGUAUUUUCUCUGAGAGAGUGUUGCAUUGUGGGAGGGACGACCAGGAGCCAAUGGCUGCGGAGAUGGAGAUGGACGUCCAGAUAGACAGGAAGUUGGAGGAGUUGGAGGAGCUGGAUGCUGCAGGGAGGAACCUGCUGAACGCUGAGCACCACCUGGCCAACAUGGACAACAACAUGACAUCAGCUCCUGCAUACGAGAGUAUGUUACUGCCCCGCCUCCACACCAAGACCUCCUCCUCUUCAUCCCCCUCCUCCUCCAGGGCUCCUCAAUCUUGCGUCUCUUUCCCCUCCUCCCUGCCCAAGAACACCUCCAUCUUUUCUAGUCUAAAGAUAAGGAGCAAGAAGAGGAGAAGGAAGAGAGACGCUGGCCGCCACACCAUUCAGAAAAUCAUGGUUGUAGAGGGGGAGGAGCAGACAGAGGUGGCAUGUCCUGCUGAAGCUGCACCCCAGCAAAUCACGCUGUACGACACCCAGACCUGGCCAAUGAAGGAGGGCCGGAGGAAGAAGAAGAGCCUAUUAAAGGCCGACGGGGUGGGCCCAGGGCAGGGGGUGGAACUCGUGGACUACAUGGAUAACCCAUUGGCCAGGGAUAUUGAAGAUGAAUGUUCUGGGGUGUCCACUGUCAGCCCCUAUGCAGUGACAGAGGCAGUCUCUAUAGCUCCACCCAGGGGCCAGGUGAGGAGCCACUGCAGGUUCCUGUCUCUGGGGUCUGUUUUGACCUUCGACCUCUCCAAAGACAUGAGGUUGAUCCCCAGUAUACAGGAUGUCAUCACUAUAGGACUCCCAGAACACAGGGGAACCUCCAACCCAAACCUCAAUCCCAACCCUCACACAGAGACACAUGCAGCCCUCAGCUCUUUCAAACAUACCCGCUCCCCUCCCUCAGACACGCACAGAGCACCAGAUAAUGAGGCCGUCACUACUUACAGAUAUGAAACAAUGACACAGAUUCAGACACAGCCACUACUGACACUGACACAGCCACUACUGACACAGACACAACCACUACCGACACAGACACAACCACUACUGACAAAGAUACAGACACAGACACAACCAUUACUGACACAGACACAGCCACUACUGAGACAGACACCGACACAAAUACUAAAACAGACAAAGCCACUGACACAGGCUAUUCAGCUGGAGCCUCUGUCUAAUCUAGAUACAGAUUUUCCUCCUCCUCCUCCUCCUGCCCUGGAUGAGGACUGGGAUCAGAACGUAUCAAGCAAUGACCUAUCCCUAACACAGAUCCAGACCGUACUCCAGGAGCCUGAGCAGGAGUGGUCGGAGCUCAUCUUCAGCAAGCAACCACCAAUCACAGCUUAUUGCCCAAAGAGUCCCACUCCAAUGAACCGAGACCAUUACAAUUACAUGGAAAUGACCAUGGUUAGUAGAAGUCCCAUUGUAAAGAGCAAGGACCCCUGUCCCUCCUCAGCCUAUCAGAACCAUGAGAGCAAGGACCCCUGUCCCUCCUCAGCCUAUCAGAACCAUGAGAGCAAGGACCCCUGUCCCUCCUCAGCCUAUCAGAACCAUGAGCGCAAGGACCCCUGUCCAUCCUCAGCCUAUAAGAACCAUGAGAGCAAGGACCCCUGUCCAUCCUCAGCCUAUCAGAACCAUGAGAGCAAGGACCACUGUCCCUCCUCAGCCUAUCAGAACCAUGAGCACAAGGACCCCUGUCCAUCCUCAGCCUAUCAGAACCACGAGUGCCUCAUUCAGGACCUCAAUGGACACCAGUACCAUCAUAGGUUGAAGACCCAUAGAGAGAGUGUUGACCUCCAGGAGACCAGCCAGGCUUCUCAGAUGGUUGUGAAUCUGAAGGUCAGUGGGUUAGGGAGUAUGAUGCAAGACUCAAUGGACUCUGGCAUCUCUGGUGUCACCAACUCUGGGAGCUUGAAGCUCAAUGCACCUGAUGUUCUCCAAGAGCCCCAGCCCAUGAGGACUGUGGUGGGGAGGCUAGUGUCUCUGGAGGAGGGGCGUAUGGAGGAUGUGUCCACACCCAGGGGAAAUCCCACAGCAACCCCAGCUCCUGCCCACCCAGAGACAAAAACAACACCCAGAAACAGACACCACCAGACAGAGACAGAACUCGACUCUGAUCCGGUCGACCCCGACCUCACCAUCCAUCCAGACCACCAGCAGUUUGAGGAGGUAGAGGAGGAGCUGGAGGACAUCUGGAACCAUAGCAAUGGCUACAGACAGAGUAUCUCCUCUGACAUCAUGUACCAGCCACACCAAGAGGAGGAGGAGGGGGGAAGUAGCAACACCCCAGGACUGACCACAGACCCCCUCUCACCCCCCCAGGCCCAGCCCCAGGCUACCCCCUACAGAAAGCUGAUAACAACUUCUGCCCCUAACCUUCUGGUGGCUGAAUUCACACUCCCCUCAUCCCUCCAAACCCUACUGGGGUACAACCAGCACCAGAACCAAGACCAGGGCUUUAGCCAAGACCCUAACUCCAGAGAAGAGCUCCCUAUGCUGGCUAACAGAGACAUGAGGUCCUGGGCAGCUUUCCCUAGUCAGGACCAACCCUGGAGGACAACAGCACUGGUCAAUGAAACGGCAGCAGAACCAGUCAAGCUACCGGAAAUGGAGGACCAGAAGAGAUAUAUCUACCAGUAUAGAGAGGAGGAGGAAGAGGAUGAGGAGGAGAAGAUGGAGGACACAGGUUGUCCAAAGGACCCAUCAAUGAGUCUGCUGUCUGUCCACAUGGGUCUGCACGGAAACAAUCAGCGAGCUACAAGUUGUGGCACUCUGGAAGGUGUGAUGGAAAAGCAUGGAGAGAGUCUGGCCACAGGGGGGCGAUGUGGCACUAUGAAUGGGAGUGGGUCUGAGCUGCAGACGAUGGAGGGAACUCUGGAGAGGAAACACAAGCUGCAGCUGGGAGGGAAGAAGGCCAGGUCUCGAGCAUGGAGCUCCCAUCAUGCAGUGCUUUACAAACAGACACUCUGCUUCUACCAAGACAGAAAGGAUACACUGAGGAACUGUGUGUGUGGCCUGUCUCUAACCCUGACGGGUGCAGAAUGUGUCUCAGCCCCAGAGAACACUAAGAAACCACAGUGUUUCAGUCUGCGCUUAAGAGACGGCUCAGAGUACCUCCUCAACCCAGCAAACCGAUUCAUGAUGAAGAAAUGGAUGCUGAAAAUACAAGCCAACAGUGUGUCCAGUGAGCAUGUCUCCUCCAUGACGUCACCCAGCGACCUCUUGGUUCAGGACCCCCCCGCCCCCUUCACCACCUCUUUCCUCUCACAAAGUACCAGCACAGGGACGGACAGAGCCAAGGAGAUAGUUGUCCUGACCAGAGAGACCAGAGAGACUCACCGUCAGAUCCCUCAGUUGCACCCAGAGAAACAGCAGGACCCAACAUCCUCAUCACAUACAGGCCGUCGUGGUAAAGGCCGUCGUGAAGAUAACUAUGACUCCCAGAGACAGAAACUGUGUGGUAGAUACAGGGAGAACAGCCCUUCCUCCUUGCACUCCUCCAUCUCUCCUUUCUCCCUCCACAACUCCUCCUCCAUCCCUCCAUUCUCCCUCCACUCCUCUGUCUCUCCUCCUUUCUCCUCUGUCUAUAGAGGUGGUCAGGACUGGCUCAGUCAAGUGAACAAGUGUCACUCAUUUACCUCAGCAAGGUACCAGAAUAUUAAACCAGCGUUGCUGCCCCCAGGAGGCAGAGGCCGGGACUACGGAUCAGUGGGUCUGGACUGUGGGUCAAACUACUCCGUGACUAUGAUUAUAGGAGACAAGCAGUCUGCCGCUUCUCCCACUCUCAGUUGUGAUGGUAGUGGUCCAUCUAUCACCAGUCACACUGACCCACAGCGCCCCCUCCUGGAUGGAUGGCAGCACCACUCAUUUCACCAGGAAUCUACUACAAGAAGGCAGCUUCACCAGCACCAAGCAAUGUACCACCACGACCAGGAACCAUCUCUGAGGUCCUGCACCGGUCUGCCUCCGCCACGCAAGAAGUCUGUCUUCAACAAGUUCUUUGGAAAGAAAGACUGAAGCUGUUAUCAAUCAAUCACAUAUUUCUCUUACCUUUCUUUUGGUAUUUUCUUAAAACUGCAUCAUCGUUGGUUAAGGGCUUGUAAGAAAGCAUUUCACUGUUGUAUUCGGCGCAUGUGAGAAAUAAAAUUUGAUUUGAUAUUUAUGAAGUCCUUUUUUACUUUUACAGUCCUUUCUUGCCCGACAGCUGAGUUAUAACG